rnacentral:sRNA from 1 species
GUAUAACACAUGAUAAGCUACUCAUUGUUUCAGAGAUUACCCCAGUUUUAUAAGAGAUGAAUCUAAAAUUUAUUAGCAAAACUUUUCCUCCUUCAAAAUUAUGAUUUUAAAUACUCAAUUACUCUGAAAACCUCUGUGUGUGUUUUCUUCUUUUUUACUAAUAGGCAUCAUCUCACUGAAUCAAUGAUCCCUGAAUGAAAAACUAUAUGUUAUUGUUAUAGGAAUGAAAAUGUUUACUCAGAAAGGUAUUCUUUAGUCAGUCUGAUAGACACACAUUCCUUAGCAAGUUUUAUUACGUAUAUGUUUAUAUUCUGUUUGGUAAUUUUUAUAACUGUUUUGCUAUAUUUACCUUUACCAUUCAAAAUCUGCUUUAUGUUUGGACCAAUAGAAAAAGUGACAUUUCUCUUAGUAUUUUGAGCAUGUUGAAGAAGCUGUGUGGGCUGUGGAAGUCUUAAAAGAAUCAGAUAGACCCGUGGCAGUUACCAUGUGCAUCAGCCCAGAGGGAGACAUGCAUGAUAUAACCCCCGGAGAAUGUGCUGUGAGGCUGGUGAAGGCAGGGGCUUC